AAUAUUUGUGUUGUUUCUAUUGUUUUGUGUGAGUAACACAUAUGUUUCGUUUUAUAUUAUUAUUAUACAAAUAAUUACUCAGUGUAUCAGUUGCUUGUCUAUAUUAGACAUGAAAUUGCGAGCGUUCUAAUCCAUCUAUAAUUUCACGGAACACAAAAUUGGCUCAACUCAAAUCAGGUAGGUGGUUGUUGGGUCAGUUGCAUGUCUAUCAUUAGACAUGCAACCGCAAACGUUUUAACCCGAGUGCAAGUGCAUCGGGGCACAAAGCGGCUUCAAUUAGGGUCAGCAAGAGAGUUCUCAGUCUAGUUGCAUGUCCAUCACUAUGCAUGCAAUUGCAAGUAUUGUGAUCCGAUUACAAUUUCACGGACACAAAAGCGAUUGUAAUCGGCUCUCAAAGGGGAGUUGCCGAGUCAGCUGCAUGUCAAUCACUAGACAUGUAAUUGCAACCAUUAUAACCUGGCCGCCUGCACUUGUACACAACAAACUCGGUCGUGAGGGGAAUUGUUGGGGCUAAUUGCAUGUCUACCAUUAGACAUGCAAGUGCAAGCAUUGUAACCGGACUUCAAUAUAUCGGGCACAAAAACGACUUCAAGUGGGUCGAGAGGGGAGUUGUUUGGCCAGUUGCCUGUCCACUAUUAGAGAUGCUACUACAUGCAAUAUAACCCGGCUGCAACUGCAUGUGCACAAAGCGACUGUAAUGGAGUCGAGAGGGGAGUUGUCGGGGCUAGUUGCAAGCGUUGUAAUUCAACUGCAACCGCAGGGGCAUGCAUGUGAUUGCAACUGGGGUCGGGUGAGUUGUCAGGGUCAGCUGCAUGUUCAUCACUAUACAUGCAGCUACCAAAUUUAUAACCCCAAUGCAACUACACGAGCUCAUAUUAACUGCAAUAACAGUUUGAAGGGGGUUGUCACGCCAUGCAACUUCAAGCGUUGUAACCUGGCUGCAACUGCAUGUGCACAAAGCGACUACAACUAUAGAUAGGCUAAUUACAUGUUUGCUUCUUUUUUCUCAUGGCAAAGUUGGUGCAUAUGCUCGUUUUAAUUUUCUUUUUACAUUUUUUUCCAGUAUUCACAUGUGCUUAAGUUGCACGUGACGCAUACAUGCAAAAUUUCAGUGGUCACAACAAUUGUGCAACAUGUUCGACACAAUUUCUUUCUUUACAAAAUAAAUUUUUUUCUACUAACUCACCUUUCGUGCAACCACACACGACGCACGCCAUGUUUGAUUGCAAGAACAACCAUUUGAGACGGGAUCGCUCAUCCAAUUUAUAUUCUACUUAUAUGUACGAGUACGAGUACAAGACACACAUCCCCAUGUUAUCUACUCC
rnacentral:lncRNA from 1 species